rnacentral:rRNA from 1 species
UGCAAGUCGAGGGGCAGCAUUUACUUCGGUAAAUGGCGACCGGCGCACGGGUGAGUAACGCGUAUGCAACCUACCUUUAACUGGGGCAUAGCUCGAGGAAACUCGAAUUAAUUCCCCAUAGUACAUUAUAAUAUCUCAUGAUAUAAAUGUUAAAGAUUUAUCGGUUAAAGAUGGGCAUGCGUCUGAUUAGUUUGUUGGUAAGGUAACGGCUUACCAAGACUACGAUCAGUAGGGGGUCUGAGAGGAUGAUCCCCCACACUGGUACUGAGACACGGACCAGACAUCUACGGAUGGCAGCAGUAAGGAAUAUUGGGCAAUGGGCGCAAGCCUGACCCAGCCAUGCCGCGUGCAGGAUGACGACCCUAUGGGUUGUAAACUGCUUUUAUAUAGGAAGAAAAUACUCUUGCGAGAGGAUCUGACGGUACUAUA